ensembl:lncRNA
CUCAUCCCUCUUCAAACCCCUAUAAACUCUUGGAAAAUACAGCAGUGUAUUCAACGUAGCGAGCUGCCAUCCAGCCUCCUACAGCACAAAUCCAUAAGCUACUGCUAUAAGUCACUAGGUGGAAGCAUCUACCUUAAUACCAGCAACAUCACUCCUCAUUAGAGAGAAAGGACAUAUUUUUCACCACACACGCCUGCUAUUUUCCCAGCACGUAAUUGACAGCAUCUGGGAGGGAACCUCGUGAAACUCACUGCAGGUAAAAAUGACUGAUCCGUUACUAGAAAGACCUUGACUGGGUUCUCAGCUUCUAUUACCUGUUACAGAGUUUAACCUUCAGGAGAUCAAUUGCUCGCAUUGAAAAAUGUGGCAAUCUAAUAACUAAUACUUCAUAUAUAAACCUCUCUUUUCUUUGCUGAGGACAGAGAAGAAAACAAACCCUGUACUCUGUACUCAGCCCCACUAAGACACUUUGGAACACAAGAAGGUGUAAGUGGGAAAAAAUGGCAGAACUCAAUACAGAGCCCAGUACUAGUGAAUAUUUUGUCACUGCGUCAGACUCUCACCUAUCCAAGUCUCGCUGAGUUUAUUUAGCCAGAACUGAUUCCUUC